rnacentral:rRNA from 1 species
GAUGAACGCUAGCGACAGGCCUAACACAUGCAAGUCGAGGGGCAGCACAGAGGUAGCUUGCUACUUUGGGUGGCGACCGGCGCACGGGUGCGUAACAGGUGUGCAAUCUGUCCAUAAUCGGGGAAUAGCCCAGCGAAAGUUGGAUUAAUGCUCCAUGUGAGUUUUAGAGGCAUCUCUUUAAUUUGAAACGUAAGGAUUAUGGGUGAGCACGCUUCUGAUUAGGUAGUUGGUGAGGUAACGGCCCACCAAGGCAACGAUCGGUAGCCGGACUGAGAGGUUGAACGGCCACAUUGGGACUGAGACACGGCCCAG